rnacentral:snRNA from 1 species
UUAUGUGAGGGUGAUCUGGCUGCAACAUCUGUCACCCAUUGAUUGCCAGGGCUGAUCUGGCUGGCUAGGCAGGUGUUCCCUUCCUCCCUCACCACUUCAUGUGCGUCCCUCCUGAAGCUACGCACUUGGUGGAAAAUGAUGACAUCCCAGGUAUAAAAGGAAUGUGUCGAGGUCUCUAGUCUUCAGUCCCGGGUAUACGAUAGCUGCGCUCCCUUGCUAGAACCUCCAAACAAGCUCAAGGUCCAUUUGUAGAAGACAAAUUAUCAGGGAAAUGGGCAACCACCAUGAUACUUUUGUUUCGUUUUGUAUUUUGGAACUUUUCUAAAUAAUUAUUUUU